rnacentral:rRNA from 1 species
CGGUGAAGCCAAGCUUGCUUGGUGGAUCAGUGGCGAACGGGUGAGUAACACGUGAGCAACCUGCCCUGGACUCUGGGAUAAGCGCUGGAAACGGCGUCUAAUACUGGAUAUGAGCUCUCAUCGCAUGGUGGGGGUUGGAAAGAUUUUUCGGUCUGGGAUGGGCUCGCGGCCUAUCAGCUUGUUGGUGAGGUAAUGGCUCACCAAGGCGUCGACGGGUAGCCGGCCUGAGAGGGUGACCGGCCACACUGGGACUGAGACACGGCCCAGACUCCUACGGGAGGCAGCAGUGGGGAAUAUUGCACAAUGGGCGGAAGCCUGAUGCAGCAACGCCGCGUGAGGGAUGACGGCCUUCGGGUUGUAAACCUCUUUUAGCAGGGAAGAAGCGAGAGUGACGGUACCUGCAGAAAAAGCGCCGGCUAACUACGUGCCAGCAGCCGCGGUAAUACGUAGGGCGCAAGCGUUAUCCGGAAUUAUUGGGCGUAAAGAGCUCGUAGGCGGUUUGUCGCGUCUGCUGUGAAAUCCCGAGGCUCAACCUCGGGCCUGCAGUGGGUACGGGCAGACUAGAGUGCGGUAGGGGAGAUUGGAAUUCCUGGUGUAGCGGUGGAAUGCGCAGAUAUCAGGAGGAACACCGAUGGCGAAGGCAGAUCUCUGGGCCGUAACUGACGCUGAGGAGCGAAAGGGUGGGGAGCAAACAGGCUUAGAUACCCUGGUAGUCCACCCCGUAAACGUUGGGAACUAGUUGUGGGGACCAUUCCACGGUUUCCGUGACGCAGCUAACGCAUUAAGUUCCCCGCCUGGGGAGUACGGCCGCAAGGCUAAAACUCAAAGGAAUUGACGGGGACCCGCACAAGCGGCGGAGCAUGCGGAUUAAUUCGAUGCAACGCGAAGAACCUUACCAAGGCUUGACAUACACCAGAACACCGUAGAAAUACGGGACUCUUUGGACACUGGUGAACAGGUGGUGCAUGGUUGUCGUCAGCUCGUGUCGUGAGAUGUUGGGUUAAGUCCCGCAACGAGCGCAACCCUCGUUCUAUGUUGCCAGCACGUAAUGGUGGGAACUCAUGGGAUACUGCCGGGGUCAACUCGGAGGAAGGUGGGGAUGACGUCAAAUCAUCAUGCCCCUUAUGUCUUGGGCUUCACGCAUGCUACAAUGGCCGGUACAAAGGGCUGCAAUACCGUGAGGUGGAGCGAAUCCCAAAAAGCCGGUCCCAGUUCGGAUUGAGGUCUGCAACUCGACCUCAUGAAGUCGGAGUCGCUAGUAAUCGCAGAUCAGCAACGCUGCGGUGAAUACGUUCCCGGGUCUUGUACACACCGCCCGUCAAGUCAUGAAAGUCGGUAACACCUGAAGCCGGUGGCCCA